rnacentral:lncRNA from 1 species
UUUGUUCUGUUUUUAUUUUAUUGGUUAUGCUUCCAAACAUCAGCAUUAAGUAUCAUGAUAGCUUUUGAUUUUUGGUGAGUGAUGUGUGUGUAUCUGUGUUGUCUGCAUGUACACAAUUUAAGGGUGAAUCUAGUCAAUUUCUUGUUUUUUUUAAAUCAGAAAAGAACUUUGAAUUUUAUAAACUUUCCUUUUGACGUGUGUUUAUCAAAUGUUCUCCUUUGUCUAUUGAUAUGUGAACUACAUUAAUAGAUUUUCUUGUCUUGAAUCAUCUGUAAAAUAGUGAUUGAAAUUGUAUCUAUUUUUUAUUCAUUCUUGCAAAAAAUAUUUCCUGUGCAGCAACCAUGUGCUAUUCCAGGCACCAGGAAUGUGCAGAGGAAAACGUCAGCCCUCGCCAAGCUGACAUUUGUAUGCGUGAGUGACAGACAGCAAAUCACGAAUAAACAAGAUACUGGACAAGCUGCAGAGGAGCCUGUGUCCUGGGAGCCGGAAGCUCUUUGAAAACAGCAUGAGGAUGAGGCUGCUGGAGCAAGUGUGAUCGUGGCACCAAUGAGCAAAUCUGGAGGCUCCCCAAGUCUCUGAGCACCCCAUCUUAUAAAGCUCCAUUCGCAGCUCCACAACAUGCGCUGAAACCAAAGCCACGUGCUCCGAAAGUGAAGAGAAACAACCGGCUAGGCUAUCUGAUACAUGGAGAUACAACCCCAGAAAGUCUAUUCCUUUAAAAACAAGUGGCUGUCUUGCCCUUGGGUGACACACAUUGAAGGGACUUGCCUAUCUUCAAAUGAUUGCACGAUUGUGGCAACACAUUAGAAGUUGGUGAACCGAGCUGAGGAAACUCCCUGCUGCUCUGCAGCCCCCCAUUCCGGGGGACUUCACGUGGGAAGCAUUUUGGAUGGCAUAGAAGUGCUGCUUGGACCUGCUGUGUGGGUGAGAAGCCCACGGCAGUGCUUCUAGUGGGGUGCCAGUUCCUUGCCCACUGGUCCACAUGGGGGCACUUGGAGAGGACUGUGGUCUCAGUGGACCAGGAGCUCUAGAGACAGUGCUCCUCCCCUCUUCACCUUGUGACCCAACGCUGCUAGUGGGUUCCCUACAGCCCAGCCCAGGCCAACGUGGGCAGGGACUCCCUUCGGGCAUGCCGCUAGCUGUUCCUGGCAGCCUUCAGCCUCUGCUCCAUUCUCCCUCUCCACCCCAGCCUGAGCCUUUGCCCUGACACCAUAGACCAAUGGCCUCUGGUCAGUCGCUGACGCCUGGGGCCCCUGGCCAUCUUGUCACCUGCAGCCUCUGGCUCUCUCUCUCAGCACUGCUUCUCCAUGGACAGAUCUGAUGGGCAAAGGGUUGCUGUGCUUUAAUUUUUCCCAGGGCUAACCCCGGUGGCAGCCCGAGCAUCUCUGAAGGCCACGACGCCUCUGACCCCAUGGGACUCCGCGGCGGGAAAGCGCUAGUGUCGCGUAACAGAACGAUCUCACAGCGCAUCGGAUUCAGAUAUUAAUGGCUUUAUUCUGACUUCCUGUUCUUAUGCACAUGUAUCUCUUUUCCCUGUAGAUCUUCUGUUUGGCUGGAUGGCUACUUUGACUGCCAGAUUCAAAGAGAAAAAGCCCAUAAAAUUCACAAAUGCGCAGUCACAUGUCUAGUUUUUGCUCAGCCGCAUCUAGAGAAUGACUUAAAUGUGGGCACUGGGGCCUGUCUUUGCUUUUUGAUUGUUUAAGACUCAGAAAUGCCCAGAUUUUCAGAGCAUAGAAUUGUCCCAAUUCAAAGUAUAGUAUGAAGGGACUGGGAAUUUGGUUAAUGAAAAUAAUACAUCUCAAUUUAAUUUUUAAAACGUAUGUCUCCUUUUAAAUAAGGACUCUUACUAUGUAUGCAUUACUGAGGACGACAUGAUGUACAUCGGCUUACAGAGAGCGAAAUCUUCUGUUAUGUUAACCUUCAUGCUGUUUCUUUUCUCAUCUUUUACAAAUCCUAAAUUUGAAAAUCCCAGCCUGCGAUGAUGGCUGCUGGGAAGGCCGUGUGUGUCGUUCCUCUUUGGGAUCGGGUGGUAUGAACGCCUCCGUCUGCACCCAUUGUCCAGGGGCUUCGAUGACAUUGGUUACAGCUCCUGUCCCCACAUUGAAUGUGGAUUCGACAACUGCAGGAAGGUGCCUCCCAGGAUUCCUGGAUCCCCUGGAUGCUGGGUAGAUGAGCCUGUGUCUCCCUAUAGAAGUCUGAAUGUUCCAGUUUGGGAAAAUGGUGCCUCGAUUUGGUUGCCUUUGGAUUUGAACAGUAUUCUAUCAUGCUCAGUGUCUCUACUUAAAUGUGGAUUUAAAAUAUUUCCCCCUAAAAUAUAUCUUUAUUUUAUUCAUAGUGCAAUAAAGCACUGAGUGUUUGGAAAGACUCAAACUUCUGGGAGAUAAGCUGUGUAUCCUAUAGUUUGGUCUUACUGAGAAAUUUUUAAUUUUUUCCUCAGCAUCAAACAUGUUGUAUUUCAGUCCUAAAGGGAUAGGUUAGACUAUUCAAAAUACCAAAUAUUUUCCUAGGAAAGGUCACUUAAACACAACUUCUAAAUGCAGGCAACAUCCGAGUGUGGUGGUUCACGCCUGGAAUCCCGGCACUUUGAAAGUUAUGGCGGCAGGAUUGCUUGAGCUCAGGAGUUUGAGAGCAGCUUGAGCAACAUAGAGAGACUCUGUAUCUA